GCGGGUUCUAAUAAUUUGGCAAAAUUAGCCUCCCUGAAUGCGGCUUUGAUUCCCAUCUGGAAAUAGGCGAAGAGAAACAACCGGAUGAAGCCGGUGGAAUAUUUUCUCCCCCCAACAAUGGUCUAAUCUACUUUGACUCAACAAAUGCUAAGUUGGCAAUUGCUCUGACCUUACUCAACGCCAACAAUUUAAACAAUAUAAUGGAAUUAUGCCCACCCAAAUAUGACAGUCACUUAUUCCGCAGCUGGAGCAUUAACAAAGGCACCGGCAAACAAAAUAUUUUUCUUAUUCCAAAUCCAAUAGAAGAAUGGACGAUCGGCAACAAAUUGCAAUGGCAUCAACAUCAUACGAGUCAUCAUG